UGGUGCAUGGUUGUCGUCAGCUCGUGUCGUGAGAUGUUGGGUUAAGUCCCCGGCAACGAGCGCAACCCUCGCCUCUAGUUGCCAGCAUUCGGUUGGGCACUCUAGAGGGACUGCCGGCGACAAGUCGGAGGAAGUGGGGAUGACGUCAAAUCAUCAUGCCCCUUAUGACCUGGGCUACACACGUGCUACAAUGGGCGGUACAAAGGGCUGCGAACCCGCGAGGGGGAGCGAAUCCCAAAAAGCCGCUCUCAGUUCGGAUUGCAGGCUGCAACUCGCCUGCAUGAAGCCGGAAUCGCUAGUAAUCGCGGAUCAGCAUGCCGCGGUGAAUACGUUCCCGGGCCUU
rnacentral:rRNA from 1 species